UAAUAACGCAUGACAACAUCAGACUGUUCUGAAAUCACACUUCCUGUGGUGACUUGUGGUGAAACUGUGUUGUGGAUUUAUAAUUUCAGACUCGACACUCAGGUUUCUGAGGCACUGUUUCAGCAGAUGUUCCGGGUGGAUAUUGUCUCCGACCAUGGCCCCAAAUUCACAUCGUGAGUAUGGAGAGCCUUCACGGAGAAGCUGGGGGCCACGGCCAGCCUCACAUCCACGUACCUCAGUCCAACGGGCAGGUGGAAAGGACUAACCAGAAGCUGGGGAGGUUCCUUAGGACCGGCAGGGGGAGUAGGCCCGGUUCCUUCCCAGGGCGGAGUACGCACAGAACUCACUUCAUCACUCCUCCACCGGGCUGACUCCCUUCCAGUGCGUCCUGGGAUAUCAGCCAGCCUGGGCCCCGUGGACCCCAAGCCAGACCGAGUGUCACGCCUACUCCAGCUGCCGCUCUCCGGCGCUCGACGUCGCCGGUCUACUAACCACAGGUCCUGGCACCAUCAUUGCGCACACCUGGACCUCAUCAUCACCUUGAAUGGUCUCCCUUUAUUUAGUCCUCAGUAGCCUCAGUCAUUAUGCAGUAUUGGUUCUGUUCUCGUUCAGUACGCUUCUCAUGUUUUGUUGAUCUGCCGUCUCUUACCAUUAAACGUACCUUCUGCACCUGC